rnacentral:ncRNA from 1 species
UUAAAAAUGGUGAUAAGGAAUAGUAUAUGGAGUGAGUUUUUAAGAGAGCUAGAGGUUGGUGUAAUCUAGUAAGCAAACUUUAUAGAAGCAGCCUUUGAAUUUUAUAACUGAAAAAUAAAAAUUGUAACAUACGAUAAUUUUUAAUUAGGUUAUAACGUAUUCCUCACGUUAUAGAGGCGGAGUAUGAAAAUAUACUCUAACUGAGUGAACAAUAUUUAUAUUGUUUAUUAGGGUGGUACCGCGAAGUAGUUCCUUCGUCCCUUUU